rnacentral:rRNA from 1 species
UACGUAGGGGGCAAGCGUUGUCCGGAAUCAUUGGGCGUAAAGCGCGCGUAGGCGGCCCGGUAAGUCCGCUCUGAAAGUCCAGGGCUUAACCCUGGAAAGCGGGUGGAUACUGCCGGGCUUGAAUCCGGAAGAGGCGAGUGGAAUUCCUGGUGUAGCGGUGGAAUGCGCAGAUAUCAGGAGGAACACCGGUGGCGAAGGCGGCACUCUGGGCCGGUACUGACGCUGAGGAGCGAAAGCGUGGGGAGCGAACAGG